rnacentral:rRNA from 1 species
CGAAAGCCUGACGGAGCAAUACCGCGUGAGGGAUGACAGCCUGUGGGUUGUAAACCUCUUUUCUCAAGGAAGAAGUUCUGACGGUACUUGAGGAAUAAGCAUCGGCUAACUCUGUGCCAGCAGCCGCGGUAAUACAGAGGAUGCAAGCGUUAUCCGGAAUCACUGGGCAUAAAGCGUCUGUAGGUGGUUUGAUAAGUCUGCUGUUAAAGACUAGGGCUUAACCCUAGGACAGCAGUGGAAACUGUUAGACUUGAGUGUGGUAGAGGUAGAGGGAAUUCCUAGUGUAGCGGUGAAAUGCGUAGAUAUUAGGAAGAACACCAAUGGCGAAAGCACUCUACUGGGCCACAACUGACACUGAGAGACGACAGCUAGGGGAGCA